rnacentral:rRNA from 1 species
CGGAUCGCAGGCUGCAACCCGCCCUGCGUGAAGCCGGAAUCGCUAGUAAUCGCGGAUCAGCAUGCCGCGGUGAAUACGUUCCCGGGCCUUGUACACACCGCCCGUCACACCAUGAGAGUCGGGAACACCCGAAGCCCGUAGCCUAACAGCAAUGAGGGCGCGGUCGAAGGUGGGUUCGAUAAUUGGGGUGAAGUCGUAACAAGGUAUC